AGGUUAAGUUAACAAGGGCGCAUGGUGAAUGCCUUGGCACUAGGAGCCGAUGAAGGACGGGACUAACACCGAUAUGCUUCGGGGAGCUGUACGUAAGCUAUGAUCCGGAGAUUUCCGAAUGGGGCAACCCAGCAGUUUUAAUCAACUGUUACCACUAGAUGAAUUCAUAGUCUAGUUGGAGGUAAACGCUGUGAACUGAAACAUCUCAUUAGCAGCAGGAAUAUAAAGAAAUUUCGAUUCCCUAAGUAGCGGCGAGCGAACGGGGAACAGCCCAAACCAAAGUGCUUGCACUUUGGGGUUGUAGGACUGAACAUUUGAGUUACCAAAGAACUUGAUAGUCGAAGGAUUUGGGAAAAUCCGCCAUAGAUGGUGAUAGCCCAGUAGAUUAAAUCAAAUUCUCUCAGUUCAGGAUCCUGAGUACGGCGGAACACGUGAAAUUCCGUCGGAAUCCGGGAGGACCAUCUCCCAAGGCUAAAUACUACCUAGUGACCGAUAGUGAACCAGUACCGUGAGGGAAAGGUGAAAAGCACCCCGGGAGGGGAGUGAAAUAGUUCCUGAAACCAUGUGCCUACAAUAAGUCAGAGCGCGUUAAUGCGUGAUGGCGUGCCUUUUGUAGAAUGAACCGGCGAGUUAUGAUCCCGUGCAAGGUUAAGACUAAAAAGUCGGAGCCGUAGCGAAAGCGAGUCUGAAAUGGGCGUUUUGAGUACGAGGUUAUAGACCCGAAACCAGGUGACCUAUCCAUGUCCAGGUUGAAGGUGCGGUAAAACGCACUGGAGGACCGAACCCGUGUAAGUUGAAAAUUGCUGGGAUGAGGUGUGGAUAGCGGUGAAAUUCCAAACGAACUUGGAGAUAGCUGGUUCUCUCCGAAAUAGCUUUAGGGCUAGCCUCGGAAUUAGGAUCAUGGAGGUAGAGCACUAUUUGGACUAGGGGCCCGUCUUGGGUUACUGAAUUCAGAUAAACUCCGAAUGCCAUUGAUUCAUAUCCGGGAGUCAGACGAUGAGUGAUAAGAUCCACCGUCGAAAGGGGAACAGCCCAGACCAUCAGUUAAGGUCCCUAAAUGUAUGCUAAGUGGAAAAGGAUGUGGAGUUGCAUAGACAACUAGGAUGUUGGCUCAGAAGCAGCCACCAUUUAAAGAGUGCGUAAUAGCUCACUAGUCGAGUGAUCCUGCGCCGAAAAUGUACCGGGGCUAAGCAUACUACCGAAACCAUGGAUGCGACCAUUAGGUCGCGUGAUAGGAGAGCGUUCUAAGGGCGGUGAAGCAAGAUCGUGAGGACUUGUGGAGCGCUUAGAAGUGAGAAUGCCGGUAUGAGUAGCGAAAGAUAGGUGAGAAUCCUAUCCACCGAAUGACUAAGGUUUCCUGGGGAAGGCUCGUCCUCCCAGGGUUAGUCGGGACCUAAGUCGAGGCCGAGAGGCGUAGACGAUGGAUAACAGGUUGAGAUUCCUGUACUAGUUAAGUGCGUUUGAGCAAUGGAGGGACGCAGGAGGCUAAGAUGUGCAUUCUGUUGGAUUAGAAUGUCCAAGCAGUAAGUCUUGUGAAGAGUCAAAUGCUUUUCACUUUAAGGACAAGCUGUGAUGGGGAGCGAAAUUUAGUAGCGAAGCGUCUGAUGUCACACUGCCGAGAAAAGCUUCUAGUGAGUACUUAACUACCCGUACCGCAAACCGACACAGGUAGUCGAGGAGAGAAUCCUAAGGUGAGCGAGUGAACUCUCGUUAAGGAACUCGGCAAAAUGACCCCGUAACUUCGGGAGAAGGGGUGCUGAUCGCAAGAUCAGCCGCAGUGAAUAGGCCCAGGCGACUGUUUAUCAAAAACACAGGUCUCUGCAAAAUCGUAAGAUGACGUAUAGGGGCUGACGCCUGCCCGGUGCUGGAAGGUUAAAAGGAUGGGUUAGCUUCGGCGAAGCUCAGAAUUGAAGCCCCAGUAAACGGCGGCCGUAACUAUAACGGUCCUAAGGUAGCGAAAUUCCUUGUCGGGUAAGUUCCGACCCGCACGAAAGGCGUAACGAUCUGGGCACUGUCUCAACGAGAGACUCGGUGAAAUUAUAUUGUCCGUGAAGAUGCGGACUACCCGCGACAGGACGGAAAGACCCCAUGGAGCUUUACUGUAGCUUGAUAUUGAGUGUUUGUACAGCUUGUACAGGAUAGGUAGGAGCCAUAGAAACCGGAACGCUAGUUUCGGUGGAGGCAUUGGUGGGAUACUACCCUCGCUGUAUGACCACUCUAACCCGCACCACUAAUCGUGGUGGGAGACAGUGUCAGGUGGGCAGUUUGACUGGGGCGGUCGCCUCCUAAAAAGUAACGGAGGCGCCCAAAGGUUCCCUCAGAAUGGUUGGAAAUCAUUCGCAGAGUGUAAAGGCACAAGGGAGCUUGACUGCGAGACAGACAGGUCGAGCAGGGACGAAAGUCGGGCUUAGUGAUCCGGUGGUACCGUAUGGAAGGGCCAUCGCUCAACGGAUAAAAGCUACCCUGGGGAUAACAGGCUUAUCUCCCCCAAGAGUCCACAUCGACGGGGAGGUUUGGCACCUCGAUGUCGGCUCAUCGCAUCCUGGGGCUGUAGUCGGUCCCAAGGGUUGGGCUGUUCGCCCAUUAAAGCGGUACGCGAGCUGGGUUCAGAACGUCGUGAGACAGUUCGGUCCCUAUCCGUCGCGGGCGUAGGAAAUUUGAGAGGACCUGUCCUUAGUACGAGAGGACCGGGAUGGACAUACCUCUGGUGUACCAGUUGUGCCGCCAGGCGCAUCGCUGGGUAGCUACGUAUGGAUGUGAUAAACGCUGAAAGCAUCUAAGUGUGAAACACACCUCGAGAUGAGAUUUCCCAUUCCUUUAUGGAAGUAAGACCCCUGAAAGAUGAUCAGGUAGAUAGGUUAGAAGUGGCAGUGCGGUGACGCAUGAAGCGGACUAAUACUAAUCGGUCGAGGACUUAACCAAG
rnacentral:rRNA from 2 species